rnacentral:lncRNA from 1 species
GUUUUUUAACUGCCUGAUCUCAACUGCCUAACACAAGAGUUGAGAGUAGAAGGCCAUGUGCUAGUUUCUGACUGCUGCUGUAACCAAUUAUUACAAACCCGAUGGUUUAAAACAACACACGUUUAUUCUCUUACAGUUCUGGAAAUCAGAAGUCUGAAAUCCAUUUCACCAGGUCAAAAUCAAGGUAUCAAGAGAGCUGCCAGGGGAACAUCCAUUUACUUGCCUUUUCCAGUUUUUUAGAGCUGCAUUCUUUGACCUCUGGCCCCUUACCCAUCUUCAAAGUAAGCAGUAACCUCUGAAAUCCCCUCCCUCCCCCCUGUUCCUUUGUAAUACCGCUUUCUUUCUCUUCUGUAGUAAAAUCUCCCUCUGCCUCCCUCUUGUAAGGACGCUUGUGAUUACAUUUAAGACUCACCUGAGUAAUCCAGGAUUAUCUCCCCAUCUCAACCCCCUUAAUUUAAUCACUCUUGCAAAAUCCCUUUUGCCAUUUAAAGUAACAUUCACAGGUUCCAAGGAUUAGGACCUGGAUAUCUUUAGGGGCCGGGAUUGAGCCAUCCUCUGCCCCCUCCAGUCCAUAACCACCAUGGCUUCACCCGCGCAUGCCCUGGAGUUGGCGGCUCCUGAGGAAGACCUGACCAGGGAAGCUUUUGUAAGCACAGUAAAGCUUUUCCGUAUGGGCUGCAGCUGCCCCUCUCCAGUCUCCUUGACUCUGGGCACUACCAUUAGCUUGCAGAACUCUGUGUCCCAACACCUCCCUCUCUGCUGGAGGCCACCUCACACCCAGAUGUGAAUAGGUUUUACCUUCCACCAGCACUGCUGCAUCAAGGACCAGGGGGUCCGCAAGUACUUGCUGAACACCAGACCCUGCCCUAAGCAGUCUGGAGGAAUCAGAUUGGACACAGUGUUCCUGCUAGAAGCCAGCCGUGUGUCUGGGGGAGGAGCCCACACAUGGAAGAUGGAGGGACGACACGUGGAGUCACGGGUCAGCACAUGGUUCACUCCUCAAUGAGGAGAAUAAAGAGCUUAGUGUCAGAAGCA